AUUUAGUCUCAGCCUGAUCUUCAGCAGAGGUGAAGUUGGAGUGACAUCUGGUGGUGCGCUGUCACAAUUGCACAAUAGACACUAGUAAGGGCACUAAGCAGCAGAUCAGGCACUUGUUAGGUGAGAUGAUAAAGGUAGUAGGUGUGUCAGUGUCAGGUGAUGCACCAGGAAGAGACCACUGGAGCAAGAGAGAGGCAGCAUGGUGAUGUAUUUUGAUGUGCUCCAUGAAGUUUCAUCAUCCUGAAUAAGUGGAUAAACAACGCUACCAAUAGUAGUUCCAGUCGAUCUCAACAGCAGCGAUGUAAUAGUGUCUCUCCUUGGGUGGCUGCUGGUCUGCUUUGACAUGGAGGACAGUCAGAAGAACCAGGACAGGCAGGAGACAGCGAGCUCCAGCCCAGGCACAGAGC